GCGGGCUUUUUAGUCAAAYCACCGUGUUUUCCAUCUUCCAUUAUAGUAAAUAAUUCUUUGAUUUCUAUACCACAAAGGAUUAUUGAGCUAACUCGAAUUACAUAAUAAUAUAAUACAAUAUAAGGAUUUUUAAACAAUACAUUGAAUCCGUGGGGUGCAAUAAGGUGUCGAAAACAACGCCACUACAGCUUUAUGUUAAUGAAAACAUCCAAAAUCGACCAACAUGGCUAACGAUCACACAGCAGCUAUUACAAUCUCAUCGAUUCUUUUCGCCGGCUUUGUGGUAGCGUGGAUUUUAUUGRUGUACUUUUGCAAGUGUCGACAGUCGAAUGACGAGUUGGAUGCAGACGAAUUGGCGUCGUCUCGAAAGGAAUACAGUCCCGAGCCCGACGAGCGAGAUGCGAUGGUKAGACGAUCAUUGAGGGAAAAGAAAAAGAAAGAGAAUCAAAGUGCAGUGUAAACUUCAAAAGUUAAUAAAUAGUUUGACCGAUUUGCACAAAAGACAAAAUUUAACAAGAUGGGAUGGAUAUAAAGUAUUGGUUGAAAAAUUUUAUAAAAUCACAAGACUGGAAUUUUCUACAUCUAAUAAAAACUCUGGCUUAUGUACAUAUGGGAUGGAGCUAAACACUGUUCUGAUACGUACUACGUUAAAUCUAAAGCGACUGCAUCUCGGCAGAUUCAAUACGGUCAAGAUAAGUAAACAAAAAGAAAAAGAUAUGAAGGGAAAGUACUGUUUCUAGGGAGCACAAAUGAAGUAAAAAAUAUCACAUGCCAAAAGCUGAUGUCCGUUUCCUCGCGAGUCGAAAGUUUCCAACACCCUUUCAUUUUCCCUGGUAAUGUCUGUACCUUUGYCUUCUUCUCCMAUUGAAAUUUACUCAAAUGUCUGGCUAAAAACUAGACUGCGAUGCUUAGAUAGGAAUCCCCAAGAUAGCUUAAUCUGGUGCAAUAAGGUGUCUUUAGAGAGACUUUUCUGUGCGAGCUGUCUCUCUAUACCUCCUUGUUCAUCAAAAGAGGAAGAAUUGAAGAGAGACACUGCUUGUGAGAUGUAGUCGAGAGUAACUAUAAGAAUAUGGAUUAUAUUUGUAUAUUUAGCAAUAGCCACUUCGAGCUAAACUUCCACCAUAUUUAUGACGACCAGUUCACCAUGUACAAUAAUUGAUUCAUAUACAUAUACACAUUUUUUUAUCAGUUUUUGUAAAGUUGGAUUAGUGUUAUAUAUUARUAAAUAUCAGUCUACUAWACAA